rnacentral:hammerhead_ribozyme from 1 species
CUUCUGAGGAGUCCCACAAUAGGACGGAACGGCCGUCCAAAG